rnacentral:rRNA from 1 species
UUGGAGGGCAAGUCUGGUGCCAGCAGCCGCGGUAAUUCCAGCUCCAAUAGCGUAUAUUAAAGUUGUUGCAGUUAAAAAGCUCGUAGUUGAAUUUCGGAAUCAAUUUGUUGGUCGUGCCUCGGUACGUACUGGUAUUAUUGGUUUCUACCUUCUGAAGAACCUUGAUGUCAUUAAUUUGGUGUCUUGGGGAAUCAGGACUGUUACUUUGAAAAAAUUGAGUGUUUAAAGCAAGGCAUACGACUUUGAAUACAUUAGCAUCGGAAUAAUGAAAUAGGACGUUUGAUUCCUAUUUUGUGGUUUCUAGGAUCGACGUAAUGAUUAAUAGGGAUAGUUGGGGGCAUUAGUAUUCAAUUGUCAGAGGUGAAAUUCUUGGAUUUAUUGAAGCUAACUACUGCGAAAGCAUUUGCCUAAGGAUGUU